GAUGAACGCUGGCGGCGUGCCUAAUACAUGCAAGUCGAGCGAACGGACGAGAAGCUUGCUUCUCUGAUGUUAGCGGCGGACGGGAGAGUAACACGUGGAUAACCUACCUAUAAGACUGGGAUAACUUCGGGAAACCGGAGCUAAUACCGGAUAAUAUUUUGAACCGCAUGGUUCAAAAGUGAAAGACGGUCUUGGUGUCACUUAUAGAUGGAUACGCGCUGCAUUAGCUAGUUGGUACGGUAACGGCUUACCAAGGCAACUAGGCAUGGCCGACCGGUGAGGCUGAUCGGCCACCUUGGAGCUGAGCCACGGUCCAGACGCCUACGGGAGGCAGCAGUAGGGAAUCUUCCGCAAUGGGCGAAAGCCUGACGGAGCAACGCCGCGUGAGUGAUGAAGGUCUUCGGAUCGUAAAACUCUGUUAUUAGGGAAGAACAUAUGUGUAAGUAACUGUGCACAUCUUGACGGUACCUAAUCAGAAAGCCACGGCUAACUACGUG
rnacentral:rRNA from 1 species